UACGUAGGGGGCAAGCGUUGUCCGGAAUCAUUGGGCGUAAAGCGCGCGUAGGCGGCCCGGUAAGUCCGCUGUGAAAGUCAAAGGCUCAACCUUUGAAUGCCGGUGGAUACUGUCGGGCUAGAGUCCGGAAGAGGCGAGUGGAAUUCCUGGCGUAGCGGUGGAAUGCGCAGAUAUCAGGAGGAACACCAAUAGCGAAGGCAGCUCGCUGGGACGGUACUGACGCUAAGGCGCGAAAGCGUGGGGAGCGAACAGG
rnacentral:rRNA from 1 species